UACGUGCAUGCUACAAACGGUUAUAUCCGUUCAUCUGAAAUUAUCUGUCAGUUUAAAAUUGAAUUAUUAACACCGGCGCUCGACGGAUAUUGUAUCUUGUAAAGAAUAUAAAGACAUAAAGAAGAGAUCAAGAACAAUGCCGUUGUCUGUUUUAUGUAAAUUAAUCGUGAUUGUGUGUAUGACCAAGAUGGUCUCCAGCCAAUUUUACUGCCCAAGAGCCAGCGGAUUCUUCGCCGAUCCCAUUGAUUGCUCCAAAUUUUACAGGUGUUUAGCAGGUCGUCCUGUACACAUGCCGUGCCCCACGGGAACGCUAUGGGACCAGAAUAUCGUCACAUGUAAUCAUGCUGUCGAUGUUGAGUGUUUUUCAGCCCAUUCUUGCCCGGAUCCGGAUGGUCUUUUUCCUAUAUCAA